GACGAACGCUGGCGGCGUGCUUAACACAUGCAAGUCGAACGGAAAGGCCCCCACCUUGGUGGGGGUGCUCGAGUGGCGAACGGGUGAGUAACACGUGGGUGAUCUGCCCUGUACUUCGGGAUAAGCUUGGGAAACUGGGUCUAAUACCGGAUAGGGCCAUGGUUUAGUGUCUCAUGGUGGAAAGAUUAUUGUUUUGGUGCAGGAUGAGCUCGCGGCCUAUCAGCUUGUUGGUGGGGUAAUGGCCUACCAAGGCGUCGACGGGUAGCCGGCCUGAGAGGGUGGACGGCCACAUUGGGACUGAGAUACGGCCCAGACUCCUACGGGAGGCAGCAGUGGGGAAUAUUGCACAAUGGGCGCAAGCCUGAUGCAGCGACGCCGCGUGGGGGAUGACGGCCUUCGGGUUGUAAACUCCUUUCGUUAGGGACGAAGCCGCACCUGUUUUGGGUGUGGUGACGGUACCUUUGUUAAGAAGCACCGGCUAACUACGUGCCAGCAGCCGCGGUAAUACGUAGGGUGCGAGCGUUGUCCGGAAUUACUGGGCGUAAAGAGCUCGUAAGUGGUUUGUUGCGUCGUCUGUGAAUUCCGGGGCUUAACUUCGGGGUGGCAGGCGAUACGGGCAUAACUAGAGUGCUGUAGGGGAGACUGGAAUUCCUGGUGUAGCGGUGGAAUGCGCAGAUAUCAGGAGGAACACCGAUGGCGAAGGCAGGUCUCUGGGCAGUAACUGACGCUGAGGAGCGAAAGCAUGGGGAGCGAACAGGAUUAGAUACCCUGGUAGUCCAUGCUGUAAACGGUGGGCGUUAGGUGUGGGGACCGGUUUGGUUUCUGUGCCGUAGCUAACGCAUUAAGCGCCCCGCCUGGGGAGUACGGCCGCAAGGCUAAAACUCAAAGGAAUUGACGGGGGCCCGCACAAGCGGCGGAGCAUGUGGAUUAAUUCGAUGCAACGCGAAGAACCUUACCUGGGUUUGACAUGCACCAGACGGUUGUAGAGAUACGUACCUCCCUUUGUGGUUGGUGUGCAGGUGGUGCAUGGUUGUCGUCAGCUCGUGUCGUGAGAUGUUGGGUUAAGUCCCGCAACGAGCGCAACCCUUGUCUUAUGUUGCCAGCACUUUGGGUGGGGACUCAUGAGAGACUGCCGGGGUUAACUCGGAGGAAGGUGGGGAUGACGUCAAAUCAUCAUGCCCUUUAUGCCCAGGGCUUCACACAUGCUACAAUGGUUAGUACAACGCGCUGCGAACCUGUGAGGGUGAGCGAAUCGCUGAAAGCUAAUCUCAGUUCGGAUUGGGGUCUGCAACUCGACCCCAUGAAGUCGGAGUCGCUAGUAAUCGCAGAUCAGCAAUGCUGCGGUGAAUACGUUCCCGGGCCU
rnacentral:rRNA from 1 species